CACUUAAUUUCUUUAUCAGAACACUCAAAAUAGCCCUAACUUAGAAGUGAGAACCCAAACCCUCGAAUCCUCUCCAUUACUCAACUAAGAACCCUAAACUUUCGCAGCCUUCUCUCAGUUAGCAGCCCUCUCAGCUCGCAGCCCUCUUCAUCACUGAGAAGUGAGAAUCCAUCGUCAUCUUUCAGGUCGUAGCCCGCUCUCAACUUGCAACCCUCUAUCCUUCUCUUGCAACCCUUUAUCCCUCUUCAAUCGGUGCUGCUUCCGCCGGCGCACCCUCCAUCGGCGCGCCCUCCGUCGGCGCGCCUUCCGUCGGCGUUCACUCUCGCUCGCAAGGCCUCCAUCAGUGCUUGUUCUCUCUCGCUCAAACCUUACCUCCGUCGACACUGACUCAAUCGUCGCUGCCUCUCCCUCAAUCGUUGUUCCUCCCUCAAUCGGCGCUCAACCCUCACCAUAACACAAGAAAGAAUACUAAAUGGAGGUUACUUGAGGGUGUGAGGGUCUCUAGUGCACUGCCACCUAGAACGGUCUUGGUGCAGCAGUGUAUCUGUGAUAAAGGUGUGUUGGAAGUUCUAUGCAACUAUGCAGCUCCAUCAAAGAACUUUGAACCUUCAAGACAUGUAAUAGGCUUAUGUACUGCGGUUUGCAUUUCAUCAAAAGAAAAUUAUUUCCUAGCUUAAAUGCUGUAAUUUUGCAAUAAUCUGGUGUUAGGAAGCUAAGCAUUUGACCUGAAUCAAAUAAGUUUCAUGGGGAGAAUCAAGUAUGAUUCAAGCUGAAAGGUUAUUUUCCUGAACCCAAAGAACAAGGAAAUGUUGCUGGAGAACUUCAAAGAACAGCUUGCUUUGUCUGUGAGAAGCAUCUAGUGGAGCUAUGCAAUAUUCUGGUCUACUUCAUCUACCCAACCCAGCAAGGUAUUGAGUUGGGGGGAAGGAUAUUACAAUGGAGACAUUAAGACAAGGAAGACAAGUCAAGGAGUGAAACUCAAUUCUGAUCAGAUAGGGUUGCAGCGGAGUGAGCAGCUUCGAGAGUUAUACAAGUCCCUCAAAGCUGUAGAAGCCAGCCCUCAAACCAAAAGGCGUUCAGUAGCACUGUCUCCGGAGGAUCUCUCAGAUACAGAAUGGUACUAUUUGGUUUGCAUGUCCUUUGUAUUCAACAUUGGCUAAGGGAGUUGAAAGCUAGAGGAAUUAACAAUAAGCACACUCUUGCUUAUCAGAGUCGAGUGGGCCCGGUACAGUGGUUGAAACCAUAUACAGAUGAAACUCUCGUUGAGCUUGGUUAGAAAGGUGUGAGGAGUCUUUUAGCUGUUCCAGUGAGGUAAGAAGAAUGGGAAGUAAAGAAACUGCAUUGAUAUUCAUGCAUGAAGAAUAUAAAAUCCUCAAGCGCUACAAAAAUUAUAUAACUUCUUCUAAGAGGGCUAUCUCCUUUUUCUAAAGCACAAUGGUGUGAGCUCCAAGAUUCAGCAGCAUGAGUUUUUGCCUAUAAAUUGCAAAUCUCAACAAUAUUAUGUUUGGAUUAUUGAUAUUUAUUUUUUAAUUUUUUUAUUUUUUACACAAAAAAAUGACAGAGAUAGAAUAAGUUAAUGACUUUUAAUAAGUUUUAUAUGUAUUGAUAUUUUUUAGCCCAAUGUAUUUUAUAACUACUUUAGUUAUAAGAGAUUGAUAUAGCUAAUUUGGUUUGAAUUUUA